rnacentral:rRNA from 1 species
GAUGAACGCUGGCGGCGUGCCUAAUACAUGCAAGUAGAACGCUUAAGGAGGAGCUUGCUCUUCUGUAUGAGUUGCGAACGGGUGAGUAACGCGUAGGUAACCUGCCUGGUAGCGGGGGAUAACUAUUGGAAACGAUAGCUAAUACCGCAUGACAACAGUUAUUGCAUGAUAACUGUUUAAAAGGGGCAACUGCUCCACUACCAGAUCGACUUGCGUUGUAUUAGCUAGUUGGUGAGGUAGCGGCUCACCAAGGCGACGAUACAUAGCCGACCUGACAUGGGGAUCGGCUACACUGGGACUUGGACACGGGCCAGACUCCGACGGGAGGGAGCAGUAGGGGAACUUCGGAAAUGGGCGGAAGUCAGACCGAGGAACGGCGGGUGAGUGGAGGAGGGUUUCGGAUCGGAAAGCUAUGUUGUGAGGGGAGGACGAGUAUGAAAGUGGAAAGUUCACACUGUGACGGUAUCUAACGAGAAAGGGACGGCUAACUACGUG